CCCUUAGAUGUUCUGGGCAGCACGCGCGCUACAAUGGUCUUCGCAAACAGAUGCAUUCUCGAAGGAGAAUGCCAAUCUUGGAAUCUAUGCCUUGGUCGGGACAGUUGCUUGCAAUUUUUCGACUCGAACCAGGAAUUCCUUGUAAUCGUGAUUCAUCACAUCACGAUGAAUACGUCCCUGCCCUUUGUACACACCGCCCGUCGCUCCUACCGAUCGAAGAGUUAGGUGAAUUGUUUUGAUCGAUAAGAUUUGACUAUGGUCAACUCUCGUUGUGAAAUUCUGUGAAUCUGACUGUUUAGAGGAAGGAAAAGUCGUAACA
rnacentral:rRNA from 1 species